CAGCCCCGCUCGCCGCUGCGGAGCCGGAGGAGCCGGACGGGGCCACGGAGCCGGGCCGGGGCCGGGGGGGGCUGCGCCGGGGCCGGCGGCGAGCGGGGUGAAUUACAGAAAGCGACUCCCGGAGCACCUUGGCUGUAUGAACUCUUGAGCUGUCAAGGGACUGAGAGGCUUAUGAAGAGGUUCUGUCAGGCAAAACAGCGCUUAGCAAAGACCCCAAGGAGGAGGGAAAAGGAGAAAGGGAGGGAGAGAAGCUGAAACACUAACAAACCAUGAGAUCUAUCCGAUCUUUUGCUAAUGAUGACCGCCAUGUUAUGGUGAAACAUUCAACCAUUUAUCCAUCUCCAGAGGAACUUGAAGCUGUCCAGAACAUGGUAUCAACAGUAGAAUGUGCCCUUAAACAUGUCUCUGACUGGAUGGAUGAAAAGAACAAGUCUACGAAAUGCGAGGGUGAUGUGGAAGCCAAGGAGGAAGCUGCAGAAAGCAAUGCCAAGGACCAAGGUGGCCGGACGUUGUGUGGUGUUAUGAGAAUCGGCUUGGUUGCGAAGGGCUUGCUGAUAAAGGACGAUAUGGAUCUGGAGCUGGUUCUCAUGUGCAAAGAAAAGCCCACAAAGACGUUGCUGUGUAUAGUUAAAGACAAUCUCCCAGCCCAAAUUCAGAAACUGACAGAAGAGAAGUAUCUUGUGGAGGAGCAUGUAAACGAGGCAGCUAUUAUUAUUCGUAACACAAAGGAGCCCAAGCUAACUUUGAAGGUGAUACUUACAUCCCCUCUCAUUCGAGAUGAAGCAGAGAAGAAGGAAGGAGUAGAUAAUGUUGCGAUGAAAGAUCCUCCGGACUUAUUGGACAGGCAGAAAUGCCUGGAGGCCUUGGCGUCUCUGCGGCACGCCAAAUGGUUUCAGGCCAGGGCAAAUGGACUAAAAUCAUGUGUAAUUGUCCUUCGUAUUCUGCGGGAUUUGUGCAACAGAGUCCCCACAUGGGCACCACUGAAAGGAUGGCCACUCGAGCUUAUAUGUGAAAAAUCUAUAGGUACUUGCAAUAGACCUUUGGGCGCUGGGGAAGCGUUGCGACGAGUGAUGGAGUGUUUGGCAUCUGGAAUUCUGCUUCCCGGAGGCCCUGGUCUGCACGACCCCUGCGAGCGGGAGCCAACAGACGCUUUGUCUUAUAUGACAGUUCAGCAAAAAGAAGCCAUUACGCACAGUGCUCAGCAUGCCCUCAGAUUAUCAGCCUUUGGUCAGAUCUAUAAGGUUUUGGAAAUGGAUCCCCUCCCAUCAAAUAAGUCAUUUCAGAAAUACUCCUGGUCAGUAAGUGACAAAGAAGGUACAGGCUCAUCUGCUCUUAAGAGACCAUUUGAAGACAGUGUCGGGGAUGAUAAAGAUCCAAAUAAAAAGAUGAAGCGUAAUCUGAGAAAAAUACUAGAUAGUAAAGCAAUAGAUCUCAUGAAUGCUCUGAUGAGGCUGAACCAAAUCAGGCCAGGGCUUCAGUAUAAGCUGCUGUCACAGUCUGGUCCAGUCCAUGCCCCAGUCUUCACAAUGUCUGUAGAUGUUGAUGGUACGACAUAUGAAGCAUCAGGACCUUCUAAGAAAACAGCCAAGCUCCAUGUGGCAGUGAAGGUUUUGCAAGCGAUGGGGUAUCCAACUGGUUUUGAUGCAGAUGUGGAGUGUAUGAGUUCUGAUGAAAAAUCAGAUACUGAAGGUAAAAAUGAAACAAUAUCUUCAAUCUCAAGCAAUAAUACUGGAAAUUCCACAGCUGACACCUCCGCUACCCUAGAGGUAAGAACUCAGGGUCCCAUACUCACAGCAAGUGGCAAAAACCCGGUGAUGGAGCUCAAUGAAAAGAGACGAGGUCUGAAGUACGAGCUCAUCUCCGAGACGGGAGGGAGCCACGACAAGCGCUUUGUGAUGGAGGUAGAAGUAGACGGGCAGAAGUUCAGAGGUGCAGGCCCAAAUAAGAAAGUAGCAAAAGCAAGCGCUGCAUUAGCAGCACUUGAGAAACUGUUCUCUGGGCCUAAUGCAGCAAACAACAAGAAAAAGAAGAUUCUUCCUCAGACUAAAGGGGUGGUCAAUACAGCUGUUUCUGCAGCAGUCCAGGCUGUGCGAGGCAGAGGACGAGGCGCUUUAACACGAGGGGCGUUUGUUGGGGCAGCUGCUGCUACUGGAUACAUAACACCAGGGUAUGGAGCACCGUACGGGUACAGCGCAGCUGCGCCAGCUUACGCCAUAUGCACUUGUAUAAAAUAAGCAGAAAUGUAGUGACUGUAAGCUGAGAUCGUGAUAUAAAAGCAUAAAAAGCUGUAUUGAUACUGCUGUGUGUCAGGCACCGCAUUCCUUUCGUACCUGUGGAAAGCGCUUGGGCAGGUACCAAAGCCACGGCCAUGGCCUGCGCUGAAGCCGUACCAUGGUUAUAGGUGCAAUUGAUGAGCCACCAGAAUGUCCUUCCCAUUCGGGGGAGCAGGUUUUCAUCUGCUGUUAUCUUCAAGGUGCAAACCUGGGGCUUGGUCUGAAGCUCACUUAAAAUUCAAUUCCUUCUUUCAGCCUGUCAGGCUGAGCAGUGCUGAUUGCGGAGCAGCAGGCUGCUCCCUUUGCUUCCAAAGACGGUAUUUUAUAUGUAUCAAGGCAAUGUUGAGGUACAUUAUAAUGAACUUCUCUCGAGUAUUCCUUUCCUAGGCUUAACUGAUGUCAGUCUGAGAAGCACUGUCCAGUUCAAGGACUGAUUAAUAAAAUGACUUGCUGACUCUUAUUUGAUCUGUUUCUUUGUGGCCUGUACUUGGCAGCUUAAUCCAUUUGUAUUAGUUUCCAUCAGAACAGCUUUGACUGUGAAUUUCCAUAUUUUUGUCAUUACCCUUUUAACUCUUUACAAGCUGAAGCAUUCCACUCUUUUGUUGUUUAAAUUCUCACCUUGUUGGAUCUUCUCUUUUUCACUGAAAAGAUACUAAAUUUCUCUAAUACGGUUUGGUUUGUAAAGCAAGUACUUGUGUCUGAAAUUUCUCCCUUUCCUGCACCGCCUCUCAGCAGGACAGACACCAUUUCCUGCCCUGCAAAAUACACCGAGUAUUUAAGACUCCUAAAUCCUGGUUUUUGCAGCCACGUGGAAUCAGUGAUAAGAUGAUGUGAGAUUGAUUAGGAACCUGUCUCACUGACUGUGGAACUUGAACAAAACAUUCCCAUGUACUGAAGGGUCACAGAUGUAGGCUCCUUAAGUGUGUAAUAUAUUGGCAUUUGAGAGAGCAGUUAAAUUCUAACAUUAGUUUUUAACCUAACUGAAACGCCAGUCUAUUAUCUGAUCAGUAAUUUGGGUAACAUCUGCUUGGUCAAUGUUGCAAUAAGCACCAUUUUGCUAAGGCAGAACUAGAAACUCCUUUCGUUCGCAUAAUACACGCGGGUUUCCUUUUAAAAGCCUCCUCACAGCAGCAUGGUCUGAAGUGCCUUUUCUGUGAGAUCAGAGGUCUCUUUUACGGCUACUGAGCUUUGUAUUUCUGGAUAUACCCAACGGCCAAAUAUGUAAACCUCAUUCCAUAUGCUUCCUGCAGCUGCUAGUGUCGUUGCCCAUUCUGUAGUACCUUUGCAGUGAAGCAAAAAUGCUGUAGUUUGCAUUUCUGGUUCAUGGAAAAGAAUUCUGAAAAAGUUCCUUUUGAUUAGUACAUGUGUAACUAGGGUACCAGGGAGAGUCUGUGCCUGUACACUACCCACCUGAACUCAAUUUUAGCUAACCAGAUGACAGUGUGUAUUUUGGGAGAUGGUGUCUGGCACUUAAAGGAUUAAAAGAAGCCAAGUUUUACAGUAAAGAAUCAACCUGUUUAAUGUGGUAUCCAUACUGGAGGCGGAUGCCAUUACCAGUGACUUUGUGAAAACAACUGCAAGUUCCAGUGGUGUGCUCGGUUAACUCUGGCAGAAGUGAGGCUAUUAACACAGGAGGGAUAAAAUACAGCCUGGUCCAAUGUUACAACAGCAUUUGAUUGCCAUUAGCUGCUCUUGCAUACGUACCCAUAAUCAGGCAGGUACUUCUUUCCCUUUUUACCCCAGUUUGGAUUUCAGGGGACCACGAGGCAGAAAUGUAUGGAUAACCAGCCUGGUACACUGUCUGACUGGUGUCUGACACGCCCGUGCAGGACAGCAGUUCUCUCUGGCCCACGUCCCCUUCAGAGAACUUAAUCCCAGUUGACUUUACACAGUUGUAGCAUUGGUGUAAGAGCAGCAUUGGUAUGACCUUGCUGUGAGGUAGAAGUGCUGUUUUCUUUUCUUUUGAAAUAGGUGAAAGCUAAACAUUAGUAUUUUUUAGGAAUUUGUCAGCACGUGACUUCAGAAGCACCCGGUGUAUCAUAUACAUGAUACAAAUUAGCUGGUUGCUCCUCUCCAAAAGUAGCUCUGCAAGGAGCUGGCACCUCCAUUUCACCAGCUGCAGUGGUUUUAAACAGCAGCCUCUACAGCUGGGAACCCUUCAGGACUGUGUACUAACCAUACCUCAGCAUUUUUCCUCCUGAUGGAGAAGUGGCAGCUGGAAUGCUUGUAGGACGUCAAUCCUACUUUGCCAGCCAUAUGAGAUUUCUCCAGGUAUGUUCCAUCUAGAGAAGGUUUUAAGGCAACCAGACUGGUCUGGAGGGCUUGGCUAGCUGAAAGCAUGGUCUGUGAUCCUUCCUGCCAUCGUGCCCUCUCUCUGCCAGUGCUUGCUGUCUCCCUUAAACACACGUUCAGGAGCUGGAACACAGUGACCUUAUUCCUGGGCGUUGUGCCACUUCCAUGGAGGGAGGCCAGCCUAAACUCAUGAAGGGAAUGUGUGACACACGGCCUCUGUUGCCCAAGCAAUUUCUGUUGGACACGGUGCACCAUCCAACCCUCACAAAGGCAAUUUAGAGCCCGGGUAGGUGGUUCCUGAUCUGUCCAAUUUGCUGUCAUGUAGCCAAUGUGAGUUAAUUAGAUGAUUCAGCAAUUGUCAUGGUUCCCACUUAAUGUGCUGUAAACCCUGCUGCCGUGACUCUCACUGCAGUUAAAUGCCUUUGCUUCUGGGAAUUCUGUCCUCCUUCCCUGCGUUUUCUGAUCACCUUCUAGCAUCCCAGUAAAUAAUUGAUUCUCUCAAAUUAUGGAAUUGUUACACAGAAGUUCUAGAUUCUUAAAACCUUUUAAUCAGCUUCUGAAGAAUUUCAGAGAAACAAGUUUUCCUACAAAUAUUUCAACAUUAGUGUGUCAAGGGAUUAUUUCUACUCAUUUACAAAGAUCUCUGAAAACCACUCUGGUAUCUCGGGAGACUAGAAUUCUUUCUUUGAGAACGCUUGCCUUCUGGUAGGAAAAAAGAUUUAAAGUGUGUCUUACUCAGUAAAAGACUAUGCCCUCUAGCCACUGAAAGAACUUAAUUGGGGGAAAACGCACAAUGUAAAAUUAUUGAGGCUUUUUCAUUUCAUUGAACUAUUGAGAAAAACUUCCCUGUCCACAAGUUUCUUAUAUUAGUAGGAAGUAGAAAAUAAAGAGUGGCAUGAAGAUUUAUCAAGUGGUCUAUGAAAAAAUUUUCCGGUUUGUUGGCUGUUCAACUAUGGGCAUCAGUCUCUUGGCACUUCUUCUAAAACUCCAAGAUAGCAAUAAAUGUGAGCAGCUUCAACGUCCCAUCCCUUAUCCAGUCCCAGUAACGUCCUUGGAGAGCGAGCCUGGCAGUUCCUGUCUUUUCUGUCACCGAUGCCCUGAGAGAAAGUGUCCCUUGCUUCAUUUGUAUUCUGCAUCUGUGCUGCUGAGAGCCCACGGAUCAUCGCAGUCUAGAGGUGGGAUCCUGAACAUCUCUCCAGAACCAUAUAAAUGAAAAGCAAGCAGACAAUAUAGAAUUUCACUCUUUACUAAGACAAAAUUGCAAGUUUCCCUCUGCCUCUCUUGCUUGGUAGGUUGAGAUAGGAUCAUUCAGUAUUAGAACUUCUUGCCUUUAGCUAAAUUCCCUGUAGACAGUUGCCUACUUAAUCAAGAGAAAAGUAUGUCCCAGGUUCAGAUGAAUUCCAAGUCACAGUAGCAGCUUACAAAAAUGGCUACUAUUUCCACUGGCUCUGGGAAAACAGCACAAAACUGCUGCACUGGAUUCUUUUGGAUGCAUGAUGAGAUAUGUAAAUUUGAAGUUCAGAUUGUUGGUCUCGGUUGUGAAACUGACUAAGACCUCUCCUCUCUGGCAUCAAAAGAAUGAAAAUGAGCUCUCUGCUGGACUCACUGAGGAGCUGUACUUCCUUAAAAAACAGGAACUCAGCUUGAACAUUCAGGACAAAGACCCUCUCAGGCUUCCUGCUGAAUAAAUCUAUUGAAAAAAUGAGAUACCUUACUGACUUAUUUCAAGCAAUGCAAAGGGAUACUGUAGUUGCAUCUGCUAUCUAUAGUAUAUGAGACAGCUUGUCUAACAGCUCAUUGGUUUCAUUCGUCUGUUUCAGCACAUCUAGUUUGUUGUGAAUCUGAUCCUUAUUGUGAAAAUUGUUAUAGUCAUUUUAGAAAUCCAGUAGAGAAACUCUGCACUGAAGUCCAGUGCCUAUGGACUGUGUCAGCAGUUUUCAACUGUACUUUCUUUUGAACAUUAACCACUUAAGCUAGUAAUAAAGCGUUUGACAUGAAUUGUCAUCACAAAGUUGUUUUAUUACUUGACCUCAGAAGUUAUGUCUCCUUAGCUGUAUCUGUGUCAUCAAAAUCCAUACCUAUUUAUGUCCCAGUAUUCUAGUGCUCCUGAAACAUCCUCCUUUUCCCCACUGUGCCCAUAGAAAUGGGACUGAUUCCAUUGUUCAUCUGUAACUGAUGUGUAAGACAAUACAGAAGCGUCAGUAGGACACAUCCGCCUGUCCCUCUAGUCCGGGGUCUUCUAGGAGAAAGGGUGCUUUUUCUGCUGGAGGCAAUGCAAUGCCUUACUAACAGUAGCUGUGUGAGUUUUCUGAGAGAAGAGUUCAUCAUAGUAUAAGAUUUAAAUUCAGUGGUUUUUUUCUCCAGUUCCUGUGGCUGCAUGAAAUGUUCAGACCACAUGUUUACCUUGAUGUUUAAGAAGAGCUGAAUGUCCAAACGUGGAACAUGGAGAUGUUCAAUUCUAAAGCAAAUAUCUCAUUUUGGAUGUUGUUGUAUCUUGUAUUUGGUGCCUUAACUGUACAAUCCAAGGUCAGAUAUAUACUGUACAACAGGUAGUUAAGUGUACUUUAAAAGAACCCAUCAAGCCUAGUCUACAGAAACUGUUGCAAAGCCUUCUCAGUGGGAGAGUUCUCUUCCAUAUUUAAUUAAUAAUCCAUUGAUGAACAAGAGUCGCAAGAAUUUAAAGUGCAUAUAAAAAUUGUAACCACAGAUUAAGAUUGAAUUUAUCUGAUUUCCAACUUCGAAGGUUUGUGGCAAUAAGAUAAUUAAAGGUACAGUCUCUUCUAUGCUGUGUAAGUAAACAUCAAAAUGUUUUCUACCUAGCCAGAAGUGCAUGUUUGUGAAAACCUCUGGACUGUUAUCUCUAGUAGAACAAAUGACACUAAUUCUAAAAGCAAUUAAUUGAAUGUAAUUGGCUGUCCUUCAUUCAUUGAUACAGAGGAGCUGGAAUGAGUAAAAGUUGCAAUUAAUUUUUAAUUCCAAAAUAGCACAUAGACUUAAGGCGCGUUCCUGCCUCUUACCUGGGUGUCGAAGCGCCGGGUGCCUUACGCUGCUCUGCGGUUCCCGAGGUGCAGUGCAGCUCCCACCUGAACAUGGGCUGGCCGAAUGCAGCUGGUCCUGGGAGAAUGGACUGAGGCAAGAGAGAGAGAGAAAAGACAAAAAUGAAGCUAGAAUGACCUUCUCCAGUCUUAAAGGUCGAUCGUCGCAGAUAGGAAGUGGGGGGGAAAGCUGCACCUCCUUUUCCAAGUCCAUUCCUAGUCUGUGGUAAAACCAGGAGGUUUAUGUCUACUGUGGUAAACCAGGAGCCUUAGUAUACUAAGAGCAGGGGGAGAUGGUAUUGGUUUUUUAAAUGGUUUAUAAGAAAUUAGAUAGGAGGUUUAAGCUAUCCUUACAGCAGGCUAAAAGCUGCUAGUGAUGUUGCUACAGGCAAUUAAUAUUUUUUUUUCUGUUCAGUAAACAAAUCCAGCAUGGAAGGUUUUCCAGAGGAGAAAGAUGAACAGGAAAAAUCCAGUGCACAAAUUCUAUUUCCUGAUAGAGCCCUGUCCAGAGCAGGAAGACUGCUCCAGGCAGUGCACAUAGCAUGCAACUGAAUUUUGGCAGCAAAAGGAAUAAUAGUAAUUUCCCCUAAAGGAAUACUAGUAACUUAUUUCUACAAUGCCCACGGUAUUCCAGACAACUUCAUUUUACACAGAACAUCAUUGCAACAAGGGAAAGCAGAUACUGCUUCCACAACUACAUGUUAUAAUGUACAUAUUUCAGGUCACCAACAUUGGUGUAACCACUUAUGACAAAGUAGGUUCAUCUUGCCAGAAAAGCAUAUUUUGACAUUCUAUCCACUUCUAUUUUUUUUAAGCUAGAGGAGAGUUAAUUAUAGCACUCAUCUGUUUUGAAGGGAGUAGAGCAGAAGGUAAGUUUUAACUUCAUAUUUCGAAGCUGCUAUGAAUAAGUUGAUUAACAGUGUUCCAUGGAAACAACCUGAUGUACUUAAUUAUUUUCUUUGUGCUCAUUUCUAUGUUCUUAGAAAAGCACAAGCUUGUUUAAGCAUAAUCAAUACAAAGUUACUCAGGGUACUGUGUCAUCUCAGCAGUGGACACUAAAUGCAUCUUAAGUCAACAGGCACAUAUAAAUCAAGCUUAAUUAAGAGGAAAAGAACAUCUUGGCAGGUUUUGCUUUGCUACUGGCACCGUUACAAUUUAAUGAUCUAUGCAUAGGGAAAUGUAUGUAUUGCUGCACUCCCAAUAAAACUUGUAGGUCUGUAAGGGCAUCCUUUAAACUAACAAAGUAAAAUGUUAGCGUAGGAGAGAGAGUAUUCUUAUUUCCACAAAGAACCGUUUAGAAGCAGACCCAAAGUGAUACUGAUCCAAGCAGAAUAAUGGUGGGCUGAAGAACAGCAUUCAGAGCAGUACAGCUUUUGAAAAGUUAGCAAUUGUGUGAAUUUAAUUAUGAAAAUUCUAAUUUGCCAUAUGGAAUUUUUCCUGUGUUUUCAAAGCAGUAUCACUGGUUCCCUGCUCAAAAUAACAGGAUAAAGACAAGUAUAGUUUUCUAAUACCAUCUAUUGCAUGGGAAUAUCCUCAUACUGGAAGAAAACGGAGGCUGUAAUGCAGAGGGCAUAUUCAACUACAGAGCCAUUCUCUGGGCAAUGCUGCAUUAUUUAAGAGUGGGUAAAUAUGCCUUCAGGGACAACACGACACAGAACAGAUGUUUUAAAAAAAACAACCAACCAAACAGAAAAAAAGCCUCAAAGCUUUGUCCAAUCAUACAUUUCCUCUUCCCUGAAAAAGGGACAGGUACAUUCAUAUGUGCUUAGUGAGUUAUACAUCAGCCAUCACAAAGGUCCUUAAGGACAAAUGUUUCUAAGCUGGUCUGCUUUUGGACAGAAAAGGGAGAACGUUGACUCUGUCUUCCAGUUCCAAAGUGCAGUGUCUUAUUUCUGAUCCUAACCCUAAGUCAAUAUUUAUUGAUCAAACUGACUAAGCUUUUUAGGUCGACAAACUCUCUACGAAGCAAUUCUGUUCUCUCAAGCCUCUGCAGGGGCCAGCAACUGGUGCUUAACUACUGCUUCCACUCCAGAAUGUCACCCGUCCUCCAGCUGUCCCAGAGCCACUCUGGGACACUUGCACUUCUAAGAGAGCAACACUGCUGUGGGGGGACUGUCAAAGCACUGAGAUACUACAGCAGAGCAAGUCCCUGUGGGCUGUAUGCUUCUUAAAGUCCUGUCCAGUUCUUAGUGACAAAGUUGAGCAUGAAACCUGUACUGCCAAACGUACCAGCCCCUUCAUGAGAAGGACAUCUAUGGGAAGCAGUCUUGGAAGUGGAGAUUUUGAGGAAAGGCUGGUGUUUUCCAAGUCCAACUCAUAAGUUGUUUUGGGGUUUUUUUAAGUGGUUGAGUUUCCACCCUACAAAAAAUCACCAUCAGUCAAAUCAAUUAGAACAAUUGCUGCUAAUUUGGGCUAAAACAUUCCCCUUGUAUAACCCAAACUACCACCACCCAUCCAUCUAAGGAAUUCUUAAGCAAAGAAUCCUCAGGAGGCGGAGCCCUGCUAAGAGUCUGCACACUAGAAGGCAGACAGGAAAUGUGGCAGUGCAGUAGAAUGUGACUUUUCUAAUGACACGUGCUUCUACAAGACAAGGAGAAGAGAGAGGCAGUGCUUUGGGGCAGUGUUUCAUGCUCAGCAAGUUUGUAGAGGGAAGGAAUGCAAUUCUAUAAAUCACUUGUACUGUAUUUCUGUUUCUAGACUUGAAUGAAUUUCACUUUUCCUUUGUGGGUCAGCAUAGUAAACAUUAAAGAAAAGAUCUAUUUUUCUAAAAUCUCUUUCACCCAUAGAGGUCUGACCUGCAGCCAACAGAUGGAUUUAUUUAUCCACAGAGGACAGAGUGUUUAUUUUUACACUAAGAUUGGAUAUGGCAUUGAAAAAAAAGAAGUAUGACCUUUGAACUAUCUAAACCUUAACUACUAUGAACAAAUUCCACAAAUGAGUAAUUUGGUGGUCAAUUCCAUCUUUCUUCCCAAUGAAUCUCUCUCUCCAAAAAAGUUACCCAGAAUUAAACUUCCAAAUGAAGUACAAGAGAUCCUUUUGGUCUAAUUGCAGACUACUUUCAAAAAAUUUAAGAUUUCUCCCAAGUUUUAAUCUGUAGAAAACAAUGACAAUUAAACUAUUCCUGACUAUACUGUAAAUAAUGCAACUUCAAAUAAAGUAAUUCGGCAACAACCUUAGCUAUUUAUAGCAUUAAAAAUGUAAUCUGAACAUUCGAGUUGUCUUAAUUUGGUAGCAGCUGAAUGGGAAGAAAAAUAACUGCACACUGAAUUUUACAUUGAGCUAUAUCUACUCACUAGCCAAAAAAGCCUGCAAAUGUAAAGUAAAUGGAAUGCUCUUUGUACAUUAAGUUGCUUCCUCCCGUGAUGCUGUACCCUGUACACUUGGCUUCAUCUGGCUUCUGUGUUGUGGUUUGUACGCCAGCCACUGUUACUAACUGUACACAACACUUAGAUCUGCACUGUAAUCUCGGUUCAUUUGCCACUGACUGUAACCCGAUGCUACAGACUUCUCUGUAUAUAAAACCGUAACCAUAUCCCAUUUGCUUCCAAUAGCAUACAAUAAAGGCUUAUCUCUGUAAACAGGAA